rnacentral:rRNA from 1 species
GACGAACGCUGGCGGCGUGCUUAACACAUGCAAGUCGAACGGAAAGGCCCUGCUUGCAGGGUACUCGAGUGGCGAACGGGUGAGUAACACGUGGGUGAUCUGCCCUGCACUUCGGGAUAAGCCUGGGAAACUGGGUCUAAUACCGGAUAGGAGCCAUUUUUAGUGUGAUGGUUGGAAAGUUUUUUCGGUGUAGGAUGAGCUCGCGGCCUAUCAGCUUGUUGGUGGGGUAAUGGCCUACCAAGGCGGCGACGGGUAGCCGGCCUGAGAGGGUGGACGGCCACAUUGGGACUGAGAUACGGCCCAGACACCUACGGGAGGCAGCGGUGGGGAAUAUUGCACAAUGGGCGCAAGCCUGAUGCAGCGACGCCGCGUGGGGGAUGACGGCCUUCGGGUUGUAAACUCCUUUCGCUAGGGACGAAGCUUUUUGUGACGGUACCUAGAUAAGAAGCACCGGCUAACUACGUG